rnacentral:misc_RNA from 1 species
GAAAUGCGAUAAUUAAUGUGAAUUGCAGAAUUCAGUGAAUCAUCGAGUCUUUGAACGCACAUUGCGCCCCCUGGUAUUCCGGGGGGCAUGCCUGUCCGAGCGUCAUUGCUGCCCUCAAGCACGGCUAGUGUGUUGGGCUUCCGUCCCUGGCAACGGGGACGGGCCCAAAAGGCAGUGGCGGCACCAUGUCUGGUCCUCGAGCGUAUGGGGCUUUGUCACCCGCUCCCGUAGGUCCAGCUGGCAGCUAGCCUCGCAACCAAUCUUUUUAACCAGGUUGACCUCGGAUCAGGUAGGGAUACCCGCUGAACUUAAGC